ACCCUCACACCCACACCACCCUCACACCCACACCACCUUCGCUGUCCGCUGUCCACAGCCCAGCCGUCCCAACCCUCACGGCAUCCGCGCCAGGUCACGCACCCAGAGCCCUUGUGCUUUGCCUCACGCUGCUGAAUCAACCCGGCCACAUGUCGGCUCGUGUGGUUGGAGUCUAAGCUUUGGGCAACCUCCCAUGAUGUCACUGAGGACCUGGGAGCUUCCAUGCCUCUACUCAAAGGUCCACAGAGUUGGCUUGUCCUGACAGGGGUUCCUGUUGUGGUUCUCAGGUGCCCUCUCUGUGUCUCCUCUCACGUCUCCCUGGCUCAUUCCGGAACAAUCACCACGAGAGGGAUGGGGUCACCGUUAAUGAAACAGACUCACCCUGGAGCUGGGAGAGCCAUCAGCGUCCACGAGGACACUGAUCUGUGUGGGAGGAAGGAGGCAGGAGGAUUGGACGCCGGGCGGCCACCAACAAUGCCACCAACAGUGCCACCAACAAUGCCACCAACAGUGCCACCAACAAUGCCACCAACAGUGCCACCAACAGUGCCACCAACAAUGCCACCAACAGCGUUAUCAGACCCCUGGCUUCCUGCAGGGACGUGGUCCCAACGUGCACUGCGGCCCAAGGACACUGUCAGCCGGCUCCCUUACUGGACUCUGAGACGCCCGGGAAAACCCAAAAGAACGUGUUCGAUGCCUACAAGGAAACAACGACUGCCUGAGGGACACGACGGGCACAGAUUAAAUGGAGAGUGAGCAUGAAAGGGAGAAACCACGGCAAAGAUUUGAUCAUCCCCAGAUUAAUCAGACGAGGGCAGGCGCGUGGUGCACAUCUCGCCGUCGAACGUGAUGGACCACUACGUUCUUUACUGUGAAGGCGAGCUCCGGGGGAAGCAGAUCCGGAUGGCGAAGCUCGUGGGAAGAGACGCGGAGAACAACCAGGGGGCCCUGGAGGAUUUUAAGACGUUCGCGAGAGACAAAGGGUUCGACCCGGAGAAGAUCUUCACGCUCACGCCCCAUGAAACCUGCUCUCCAGGAAGCGAUUAGGGACGAGGGGGCACCGGGGCUCCACAGCAGCCCUGAGGCGGCAGCACCAGGACCCUCCAUCCUGAAGGACACAGACAGAGUCCCUGACCAGGAGCCUGGGUCACCUCCUGCCACCCUUCCUGCACCUCCACCCCCUCCUCCCCCGCCCUGCAUCCCCCUCCUGGUUCCGCAUAAAGAGCUUCAGCAGUUCCUGGUGCCUCUGCCUGUCUGUGGGUCCAUCGGGUGGACCGGGAAUGGGGAGGAUGUAGGCAAGCUGGGGCGGGCACAGCAGGAGGACCCAGCAGCGUCCUGGUUCCCUCUGGUGGAUGGUGCAGUCCAAUGGGCAUGAGGGUCCAGGCGGAGGGGGUAGGUGCUGCCACUCUGCCCGAGGGUCCUCUGGGGGCUUUCUGCAGGUCUGGUGCCCACCAAUCCAGGUUCUGGUGGUGGUCUGUUUGGGGAGAGGGGGCGUGAGGGUGACAGGGUUGGCUCCAGCCUCGAGGCGGGAACAUGUGUGCGGU
rnacentral:lncRNA from 1 species